UACGUAGGGGGCCAGCGUUGUCCGGAUUUAUUGGGCGUAAAGAGCGUGUAGGCGGCCAGGUAGGUCUGGUGUGAAAACUCGAGGCUCAACCUCGAGAUGUCAUCGGAAACCAUCUGGCUAGAGUCCGGAAGAGGAGAGUGGAAUUCCUGGUGUAGCGGUGAAAUGCGCAGAUAUCAGGAAGAACACCUAUGGCGAAGGCAGCUCUCUGGGACGGUACUGACACUGAGGGACGAAAGCUAGGGGAGCGAAUGGG
rnacentral:rRNA from 1 species